GAUGAACGCUGGCGGCGUGCUUAACACAUGCAAGUCGAACGGUGAAGCAGGAGCUUGCUCUUGUGGAUCAGCGGCGAACGGGUGAGUAACACGUGAGCAACCUGCCCCUGACCCUGGGAUAAGCGCUGGAAACGGCGUCUAAUACUGGAUAUGUGAUGUGACCGCAUGGUCUGCAUCUGGAAAGAAUCUCGGUUGGGGAUGGGCGUGCGGCCUAUCAGCUUGUUGGUGAGGUAAUGGCUCACCAAGGCGUCGACGGGUAGCCGGCAUGAGAGGGUGACCGGCCACACUGGGACUGAGACACGGCCCAGACUCCUACGGGAGGCAGCAGUGGGGAAUAUUGCACAAUGGGCGGAAGCCUGAUGCAGCAACGCCGCGUGAGGGAUGACGGCCUUCGGGUUGUAAACCUCUUUUAGCAGGGAAGAAGCGAAAGUGACGGUACCUGCAGAAAAAGCACCGGCUAACUACGUGCCAGCCGCCGCUGUAA
rnacentral:rRNA from 1 species